CGCGAAUUCGCCCUUCGGGGUGCGCAGGCGCGAAAACUUCACAAUGGGGGCAACCCCGAUGAGGGAAUUCCAAGUGCUAGCACUUUUUGUGUUAGCUGUUCUAUUGUCUAAAAAACAAGAGAAGUAAGGGCCGGGUAAGACGGGUGCCAGCCGCCGCGGUAAUACCCGCGGCCCGAGUGGUGGUCGAUAUUAUUGAGCCUAAAACGUUCGUAGCCGGUCUUGUAAAUCCUUGGGUAAAUCGGCCAGCUUAACUGUCCGAAGUCCGGGGAGACUGCAAGACUUGGGAUCGGGAGAGGUCAGAGGUACUUCUGGGGUAGGGGUAAAAUCCUGUAAUCCUAGAAGGACCACCGGUGGCGAAGGCGUCUGACUAGAACGAAUUCGACGGUGAGGAACGAAGCCCUGGGGCGCAAACGGGAUUAGAUACCCCGGUAGUCCAGGGUGUAAACGCUGCGGGCUUGGUGUUGGGGGUCCUUAGUGGGCGCCCAGUGCCGGAGAGAAGUUGUUAAGCCUGCUGCUUGGGGAGUACGUCCGCAAGGAUGAAACUUAAAGGAAUUGGCGGGGGAGCAC
rnacentral:rRNA from 1 species